GGUGGCAUGCUUGGCAGGUGCAACCCCAAUGUAAUCAACCAGAGAGAUGUCAUUCACCUGAACAUCAUCAAAGGUCCACCUAUUGAACAGCUUCACAUCGUGAUGAGGCUGGGUCAGCUCCUGGUUUACCACAUCAACUUCGACAGCCAUUAUUCCGUAGUAGGCCGCCGAGCAAAGGAGGAAAGUGGAAGGGUGAGGAAGACGAAUAGUAAUCGGCUGCAAGCGGAGGAAUGUGUUUGUAUUUAGCCCUAGAAAAAAAAUGG
rnacentral:misc_RNA from 1 species